CUUCAGCAUAAGGAAAUCCUCACGGAAGCAGGAAACAUCGCCCCCAUUGUAGGGUUUCCUUGUCUCCCCAUAUUGCCCUGGCAUUCGAUGCUGCUCUCGCGCCGGUCUCACCAAUCCCGCUGGAUUUUACCUGCACAGGACUUAGCUCGAUGAGGAUCUGGUGGAGCCCAAAUCGAGGCUCUAUCCGGGGUUGGUUGUCGUCGACGAUUGCAACGCUCGAGAAAAGAAUAGUCUCCGAGUGGCCCCGAGGAUGCUCUGCCAGUUUAAUCGGAAACAUAAUUGAUGUGUAGGAUACAGCUAAUUGUUUAUGAAAAUGUGUGAGACUUAUAUUUCAUGGUUAGUGAAGAAACUGCCAUCAAUAUUACACAUGAUAAUCUCUGUUUUGUGCCCACAUCACAAUGUUAGUUUUGCACUAUUUUUCGGUCACCUGAACUUUUUGCACCUCUUUAUGCUCAACUACCAUUUGUAAACAGCCAUAUAUUUUGUCAUUCAUAUAUAGGCUCACUGUUCAUGUAUGCACAGAGUUAUUGUAGCACCUUUUAAUCUGAUCUCAGAUUUAAAAAUAAAUUGCUCUGCCAGCAGGUUUAUGGAUAGAGAUAUAUAAUGUCUGUCUGGACCUUUCAUAGAGUUCCUCCGAGUGCUAUCUUUCUAGAUGUAGAAAUGUGUGGCUUUUUCUAUGCAUUGGCUCUUUUCCAUCUUCCAUUUGAAUAGUGAGGUUCGAGUCUUUGUCAAUGAAAAUUUGACCCUGAUGUUUUGCACUUUCAGCUGUUUCUUUUUUUUCCCUAUUUUUUUGACCAGAGAAGGUUGACAAGUUGCCAAAGAAGACACCCUAUUCUUGCACCAUAACGUAGACCAAGUUAUCAGAACACAUACUGCUUGGGAUGAGCAGCAGCAAGUGUGGAGGACAUAAAAAAAGGGAACCACUUUUAACUGCAUUGUGCUAUCUAUCAUGAUACAGGUUGAUGACAAAGGAUAGUCCUACAAGCUAAGUAUAUGAAUGAUGGUUGUGUAUCUCAUUCUAACUACAUUUUUCCCUCUCCCUUGAUCUAUUCCAUAUGUUGAUUGCGUUAACUCCAGAUCACAUCAAACGCCUUGUUUAUUUUCAUUUUCGUGUUGUUUCUUUUCAUUUUCAUGUUGAUCCAUAGUCAUCAUUAACAAGGACAGCUAGUCAAGUAGUUGUUCAUUAACAAAAACCAGAAAGAAUUGAAGUUUGAGCCAAUGCAUAGUCUUGAAAAAGCUGAUGUUUACAGAUGAACAGCGAGUAUGAACUAAAUUUUUCAUACUCUGUGCUGAUACACAAUCUAAAUCUGGAAAUUUGAAAGUAAGUUUUGAAGGGGACUAUACGCCACACCAUUGCAUUGCUAGUAAAUAAGCCCCUAUCAAAAUAACACAGAAUCUAUGUACCUUGUUUCUUGUAGUAUGUUGGAGUCCUACAUACGCGCAACAAUAGCCAUGCUGUCGCGAAACAAACAAAUUGACUUCAAAUUACACUGAUAACUAUGGUAUCCAUAGAAGUCUCUUCAAACACACCACCAAUAUUGGUUAUGCAUUCAAUUGCUAUGAUCUGAACUAGCUAAUCUUCCAUGCAGCUUAAUAUAUAGAUUGGACUCGAGAGAGUUCGAUGCCGACUUGAGUUUCUGUUUGGAUAAAGACAGGAAAGUUGGGUUGAAAUCAUACUCAUCCUUGAAGGGCUGUCCUAUCUGGCAUUUGUCGUAUUGGAGUGCUGACCUGCUGCCAGGAUAUAGGUAUUAUUGUGAUCCUGUCACAAUUUGUCACCGUAUAAGAGGUGGUUUCAGUAUUCUUCUAGUGGUGUAUUAUUUCAAAUCCUUCAAGUGUGUCUGAAACAUGAAGGGUAUAGAUAUGCAAGUCCAUAAUAACCAUCACUGUUGCUUGCUCAUGCAGCUACAAGAUACAGGUCACAGGUCUUCCAUUGUUGAUCGAGCAGCACAGUUUGCCAACUGUCAUAUGUGUUUCUUUCCAAGUUGGAGAUGAUGUCAAGUUGUGUCAAACUCCCAUUUUCAAGAUGACUGUCUCUAUGAUUGAUGAUGCUUUGUAAGCUUCUCAAUCUGCUAUCGAAUCAAUAAUUGAUGCAAAAAAAAAUUCCAUCUUGUACUCUGAUUUGACAUGCUACAGGUUGUGAGAACUAAAACUUUGUAUUAGUUUCUGUUGGCAGCCUUAUUCCAAUGUAUAAUAAUACCUUGAGACCUCCUCAAA